rnacentral:rRNA from 1 species
UACGUAGGGGGCGAGCGUUGUCCGGAAUCAUUGGGCGUAAAGCGCGUGUAGGCGGCUCGAUAAGUCCGGUGUGAAACCUUGGGGCUCAACCCCAAGCCUGCACUGGAUACUGCCGAGCUAGAGUCCGGGAGGGGAGAGCGGAAUUCCUAGUGUAGUGGUGAAAUACGUAGAGAUUGGGAAGAACACCAGUGGCGAAGGCGGCUAUCUGGACGGUUUCUGACGCUAAGACGCGAAAGCGUGGGGAGCAAACAGG